CCUACGGGGGGCAGCAGUGAGGAAUAUUGGUCAAUGGACGAGAGUCUGAACCAGCCAAGUAGCGUGAAGGAUGACUGCCCUAUGGGUUGUAAACUUCUUUUAUAUGGGAAUAAAAUGUUCCACGUGUGGGAUUUUGUAUGUACCAUAUGAAUAAGGAUCGGCUAACUCCGUGCCAGCAGCCGCGGUAAUACGGAGGAUCCGAGCGUUAUCCGGAUUUAUUGGGUUUAAAGGGAGCGUAGGUGGAUUGUUAAGUCAGUUGUGAAAGUUUGCGGCUCAACCGUAAAAUUGCAGUUGAAACUGGCAGUCUUGAGUACAGUAGAGGUGGGCGGAAUUCGUGGUGUAGCGGUGAAAUGCUUAGAUAUCACGAAGAACUCCGAUUGCGAAGGCAGUUCACUGGACUGCAACUGACACUGAGGCUCGAAAGUGUGGGUAUCAAACAGGAUUAGAUACCCCUGUAGUA
rnacentral:rRNA from 1 species